UUUAAAUACUGUUUCCUUAGAGCAUAUGGAACUCACUAUUUCUAUGCCCCCCCAGAUGAGGAAGAAAAUGAGGAACCACUAGCUAACCUACCUAUUGAAGUUUAUGAGGAUCACAUGGAUCCACAAAACUUGAGUGCAUGAUCAUUCCCGCACUUUGAUGAGUUCAAUAGUAUAGUGAAAGAAGUGGCCCUCUUUUGUAUU
rnacentral:lncRNA from 1 species